UAAACCAUGUGUAUUUCAUUCUACACACGCUGUUGUUAUUUUGACGCACCAAAGCACAUAAUUUACCAUUUAGCUGUUUAACAAACUCAGUAAAAUUAACUACAGAUAUCUAACUGUGUAGGUUUAGGUUCUUUGUUGAUUAAGUAGGAGUGAGUUAAAUGAGCAUGUCCUAUUUUCACUCGAGUAAUAACUACUUCUUCUCUUCCU